UCUAUUUUCUGCCUUUUCCUCUCCACCCCGAGGCUUCUCUCAUGUUCUUCCAUGGAAAAUAAUUACUAUCUUUUCACCCAAAUUAGUCAGUCCACACUCAAAUCCAGCAUUUCCUCUCCCAAAUCCGACGCUGGUAGAGGAAUACCUAUAUAUGAACUUUCGGUUUCUUCUCCACAGCUGCUCGAGCUCACAGUCAGCCAUGGAUGGAGCCCGCCAUGGGAUCGAUUGUCUCCCCUUGCGAGAUGGCGUGCCUGGACCGUUGGACGCGGUCUCCCCUGCAGUGUAGCUCCCCUCUUCCAGUCUAGUUCCUUCUCCUUCUCUUCCGUUUAGGUCUGUCCCCCACCACCGUGGUGCCACCCAGCGAGGUCUUGUGCCCCCUCUUCCCAUCGCCUGGUCCCUAAGACUCACACUACAUCUCGAGCUCGGCAUUAUUGCGGGUGACCCAGCGCUAAGCGCCGACGGAGGCAGAGACGCUGCCAUGUCUCCACCGGAUCCUCGGCCAAGGCACAUUGGAGGGCUCCACGACGCCGUCCUUGUCCCACGGGACAAGCCGAUGAAUCGGAGAAAGCAUCGAGUGGGCGCUGUUCCGGCCCGGGACCACCUAAUUAGCACAAUCCCAGCGGGCUGGUGCUGCCGCCACACGGACUCUCCAACAAGGAGUGCCGUCGCGUCCGUCGUUGGGUACCCCUGCGCGGCAUACUUCUUAGGCGGAGAGGAAUGUCAGAUGCCCGUUAGGACAUCUUGAGUGUAUAAAUUUACUAAGCUUUGUACAUUCAAAGGGAUGUAUCCAAUCCUCGAUCAAUAGAUAUAUGUACUUCAGAUAUAUGUUUGUUCUUAUUAUUUAUUGGUUUUGUAGUUUAUGUGCAACAAUAUGAAUACUAUUCCUGUUACAUCUGAUGAUUGUUUUUCAUCCAAAUGUGAGUUUUGGACAGUUAGCUUUACGCCUGAAACAGUUUUCGUUAGUGUUUCCCAAUCUUUUCUGUGAAACUAUUAAUCAAAUUGGGUCUUCAAAUGUCAGUAUAAGUUAGCAGAUUUGGACACUAUGAUUAAUUCCUAGUCUGAUGAAGCUACUAUUCCAAUGCAGGACAACCUGAGAAGGAUCAUUGGAGUGAAAUAAAGGGAGGACAAGGGAAAUAUAAAGACAACAAUAGAUGUUUUAUCCUGUUAGGAAGGGGGGUUUGAUUUAAAUGACAUAUAUUGAACAUUAUUGCUAUGGGUUUUCCUACGGAUAAUUUAAGCUCUGGUACUUUUGGAUAUGUUGAGGUAAGUGUUCUAAAGAGGCUGUAAAGUUUGCUUGUAGGUUGCUGCUUGGUAUAUGCACAGAAAUAUCCCAAUUAUAAAGAGAUAUGCCCACACAAGUGUCCAGUUCUUUUUUUAUGUUAAAAUUGGAUAGUUUGUCCGGUUAAUAUUUUUGAUUUGUCUUAUCAUUGUCGUGUGUCUAUUUGAAUUGCGGUAUUCACGUAUUUCGUUAAUCAAUCAAUAUGAUUACUGGAAUCCACCACUGCUACUUCCCUCAUGCCUUGAGGGAAAUAUGUGUUGUGGUGGUCAAUAGGGCCAACAUACAUGAUAAUGCCCGAGCCAUAUCUAAAAGAUACAACAUGUUAUUAGAUAAAAUAUUUAGUUGUCACCCAGUCAAUAUAUUGUAGUCAUGUAUAAAUAUAUGUUCAUGUAAAUUGAAUACAAUAUGCUUGUUAGGUCUGUCACAGGGGCACACAUACCAGAUUGUGAAGAUGAUGCCCCCAUUUCUUCGAGAGAAACAUUAUUGCAUCUCACAAGAUCAUCAAUGCCUGAACACCGAAAAACAAUCUAGAUGAGAUUGCAGAGUAUAUUUUUUGUUGAAUAAAUAAAACAUGAUGGAUGAUAUUAUAUUACCUGAAAAUUGGGUGAGUGAACCUGUCCUUACAAAAUUGUACUGGGCAAUAAGAAUAGUGUAGUUCCCCUGGUUUUGCUUGCAUAUGGUAUGCAUCAUUUCUGUGCAACCAAUCGAACAUGGCUUCAGACACAUGCUGUAAGUAUAUAACACAAAACCUUCAGUAGCCCUGUGAGGGUUGGCAGCUCGCUCGCGGGAAACCUGGUCGAAGCCCCUUCCCACCUCGCCUGCGACAGGUAAUCCUCCUUGUCCCUGUUCUGCUCGAUUCGCUGCUGUCCGAUGCCACUGCCUUGACGCCGCCGAUUCAGCUACAGACACACGCCUCGCGACUCCUCCUCCGCCUCCGCCACAGGCCCAUGCCUCGGCGCCCUGCUCCCUCCGCUAACCCCACUCCUCAAAGUCGCCGCCACACCUCGCACACCCGGAGCAUUGGUCUACGAAAUGCUUCAGGAGAAGGCACGAAGAUAAUAUACACUUUCAGAAUGGAAGCUUUCUAAUAGCAUUUUUCGUUGCAAGCCAAAGCUUACACAACCUUAGUGAAUUCUAAGCGCCAUGGGCUGGCUAUAAAGUUUGAUAAUCGAGGAACAAAUGAUGUGUGUACUUUUCUUUUCUUUCCUAUUGGUAUACUUCUGGACUCAUAGCUUCUGAAUUCCCCCUUUCACCGGUGGAUGGUGGUGCUAGCAGAUGGGGGAUUGGUACAUGCAUAAAUAGGACAUAAGUGAUAGGUUAAAUGUUUAUUCUUUAAAUUGAUAGUAUUUGUUUUGAUUCAAAAUCUGGAGUUGGAGAUUUUCAAUUGCUUCAUGUAGGUCUAGAAUUUUUUUAUUUAUGUAUAAAUUUUGUUGAUGAAGCCACAUAGAUUUUCUUCACUACCAUAGCUCCAAGAUUUCAUGAGUAUGUUUCAUGGUUCAUUUUUUUUGUUUCGGAAACAUAUUGGUUUUUUAAUCUGGUUAAAUAAUUUCACUUCAAUUCUACUGCAGUCUGACCAAAUUUGCCAGAAUUUUGCAUUUGGCUUGAAUCAGUACAUCACUGGAAUAUAGUUGAAUCAGUUUGUAGCUCGCAACUUAAUUUCCAUCACCCUCCUCUAUGGUAUAUACGUAUACUCACGUUUGUAUGAAUCUUUUUAUAUUAUAGGGUCAUGUCCACUGUUUAUGCAAAAUAGUUAUGUCAGUAUACCUUUUGUUCUUCUCGGGUUUUUUCUCUGGAUGUACCAGUAACAUCUAGAAAUUGAAGCCUCUACGAUGUUGCUUAGAGGCAUGUGCACGCUACAUCAUUUUGUUGAAUUGUGACAAUGCACAAAAAGCUUCUUGUUUGACAUUUCUAUCUUGUGUUCACUUGCCUAUUUGUGGGCUGAACAUCAUGUUUCUCAGGUCUCUAUUGAUUAUUUCACUACAGACAAUGCCAUGAUAUUGUGUGUUUACCUGAUUUACCUAUUGCUUUUCAGAUAAUGUACCCACUCAUUAUUUGUUAGAGCAUAUAAUGAUACAUGCCAUCAAUCAUGACCAAUGGAAAGGGCCAAUUCGACAGUUUGUUGAAGUGGGUUAGCCAGCAAUUUUUGAUUAGUUUCAGUUAAAGCUUGGCUGGGGUGUGAUUUACAAUGAUCUAGAGAGGUGUGAGCGCAUAUAGAUUCUACCAUUUCUACAUCUGUACACUAUUGUCAACAAGGGGAGCCGAUGUUUUGUUAGAACCAGCAGGGUUCUGGAGACAAUUGUGUAUCGUGGUGCAUUGGGUGGCAGAGGAGCCAGGGAGUCACUAUACAUGGAGUUUUGUUCCAGGGCAGGGCUGGAAGUACGGCCGGCGAUGGUUGGACGCGAUGGUGACCUGUGUCCUCGAGUCGGCGCAGCAACCAGGGCGAGGAUGGCAUGUGGACACCGGAGCCAGGGACAGCUCGCUUCGAUGUGCCGGCGUGUCCUCGAGAUGCCGCGGCCACAGGGUUGAGGACGGUGGACACCGGAGCCAAGGCAGCGUGCUUUGAUGGUCCGAGGCCCGCGGUGUCCUCGAGAUGCUGCGGCCACUGGGUCGAGGACGGUGGGCGCUAGAGCUAGGGCAGCGGGUGGCAUGGUGCGGUGCUGAUCAGCUGAGCGAGUUCGUGAGCGUGGUGUGGUGCGGCGUUGUCCGACUGGGAGCGAGAUCGUGGGCAUGUUGGCGGCGUUGAUCUGCUGAGCGAGAUCGUGGGCCUGUUGUGGAAGUUCCGAUCGAGUUAUUUGUGAUGCGCGUGGGAAAAUGAAAGCGGAUUAGCCAUGUACGUGUUGUCUGCCGCCCGUCAAACACGGAAAGGAUAUGAGGCGUUGGAUAUUUGGAUUGUAGGGCUGAGAUGUCUUGGA